rnacentral:rRNA from 1 species
GUCCUAGCCGUAAACUAUGGGCACUAAGUGGGGGAGGUUACUUCCUCGCCGGAGCGAAAGCAUUAAGUGCCCCGCCUGGGGAGUAUGACCGCAAGGUUGAAACUCAAAGGAAUUGACGGGGGCUCGCACAAGCGGUGGAGCAUGUGGUUUAAUUCGAUGCAACGCGAAGAACCUUACCUGGGCUUGACAUGAUAGGAUUAGUCUUGUGAAAGCAAGAUGACGCCUCGAAAGGGGUGGAACUACCACAGGUGUUGCAUGGCUGUCGU